UGUUGUCUGUGUGACCUAAUUCUUCGUGCUAGGCGAUGGAAGGCUUGGCGCUGGCUCUCGACUCCUCAUCGAGCAACGCCUUGCAUUCCGCCGCGCUCUUAAGCGCUUCAUCGGUAGCUGGGAUCGCGUCUCUGUUUCCCAGGAACUGGGCGUUCUGCGAUGCCAAAGUCGACUCGUCCGAGGACGACUGGCUGGGGAGAUGGAUGCCCACGUAUGGAACCGAGGAGAGCAAGAGAUAUGCGUUCAAGACUUACGACAUCGAGCUCAAGCCGCUCUUCUCGGCGUUCCGGCCGAAAGCUCUUGGCACCACUGGGUUGCGAGCGCUGCUCGUGAAUUUCCUCCCGCUGCUCGAGGCGUACAUGAAGGUCGAGGAGGACGAGGACGACGAAGAGGAUCGUCCCACGGAGACUUCUCCGGAUUUCAGGCUGGCUUUCAAGCGCUCGGGGACUCACGCUUUCCGCGAGGUUUCUGUAAUCACUGUGAGGCGAGUUUUGGAGCGCAUUGUUGUGCAAGUCGUCUCCGCCCGGACUGCUUGGAAGCUUUUAAAAGACGUUCCAAAGUCUGCCGUGAGAAAGGCCAGAAGACACAUCACGAAGAUCGAAUUAUUCACGGGUGUCGCGAAAACAACCUUCCGAGCUCAUGCUCUCGGAGUUGGAGCGAGUUGCCUGGUCCAAGAAGUUCUUGAUAUUUACAGAUCCGGGAGAGUUAUCUACAUUCACAGGCAAAACCCGGGCCGCGCCAAAGGGAACAAGAAAGAGAUAGAUGUCCUCCACAGCUUGGCACGAAGAACAGCUGGGAACUCCUUAAAGGCAGUGGCAUCGCUAACGUGUGCAUCGAUUGGAGCCGGGUGUGGGGCUGUGCUAAUAAAGCCUUCCACGGGAACAUGGAUUGGUCUGGCCGUUGGCGACUUAGCCGGAGCAUUUUUGGUAGGAUACUGCCUAGACAGUUGGAUCUACAAGACAUCGUCGUCCUGAUGCAGUAGAGAGCUUCCGCCAGCUUCACAUUGGUUAUUGAAACAUCAAGAAAGCAAAUCAAAUCAAACAGCACAGGCUUAGAGCUCCAACGAUAAUCAAGCGUCCUGGAUGCUGGCCCCCUUGAACGUGAAGACUCUCUCCUUGUCCUUCCCGCGCGGCACCAGAGUGACAACGAUCUUGUCCGUGUCCUUCAAGCCCAAGAUCUCGACGUUCUCCUUGAUGGAGAAGCGGGCGUCCGGGUGCUCGACUCGGUCAUCCUGGGCAUGAAGUGGGGGAUGUUGUUGAAGGAGCCAACGUACUCAGCGCAGGCGACCGUGGUGCUCUCGUUGGCCUCAGGGAGAUUGAUGAACACGUUGAAGUUAGUGUUAUUCUGCAUCCCAACCACC